UACAGAGGGCGCAAGCGUUAAUCGGAAUUACUGGGCGUAAAGCGCACGCAGGCGGUUGGUUAAGUCAGAUGUGAAAGCCCCGGGCUCAACCUGGGAAUUGCAUUUGAAACUGGCCAACUAGAGUACGUGAGAGGGGGGUAGAAUUCCAAGUGUAGCGGUGAAAUGCGUAGAGAUUUGGAGGAAUACCAGUGGCGAAGGCGGCCCCCUGGCACGAUACUGACGCUCAGGUGCGAAAGCGUGGGGAGCAAACAGG
rnacentral:rRNA from 1 species